rnacentral:rRNA from 1 species
GACGAACGCUGGCGGCGUGCUUAACACAUGCAAGUCGAACGGAAAGGCCCUGCUUGCAGGGUACUCGAGUGGCGAACGGGUGAGUAACACGUGGGUGAUCUGCCCUGCACUUCGGGAUAAGCCUGGGAAACUGGGUCUAAUACCGGAUAGGAGCCAUUUUUAGUUUGAUGGUUGGAAAGUUUUUUCGGUGUAGGAUGAGCUCGCGGCCUAUCAGCUUGUUGGUGGGGUAAUGGCCUACCAAGGCGGCGACGGGUAGCCGGCCUGAGAGGGUGGACGGCCACAUUGGGACUGGGAUACGGCCCAGACUCCUACGGGAGGCAGCAGUGGGGAAUAUUGCACAAUGGGCGCAAGCCUGAUGCAGCGACGCCGCGUGGGGGAUGACGGCCUUCGGGUUGUAAACUCCUUUCGCUAGGGACGAAGCUUUUUGUGACGGUACCUAGAUAAGAAGCACCGGCUAACUACGUG